CGGUAAUACGUAGGUGGCAAGCGUUGUCCGGAUUUAUUGGGCGUAAAGCGAGCGCAGGCGGUUUUUUAAGUCUGAUGUGAAAGCCUUCGGCUCAACCGAAGAAGUGCAUCGGAAACUGGGAAACUUGAGUGCAGAAGAGGACAGUGGAACUCCAUGUGUAGCGGUGAAAUGCGUAGAUAUAUGGAAGAACACCAGUGGCGAAGGCGGCUGUCUGGUCUGUAACUGACGCUGAGGCUCGAAAGUAUGGGUAGCAAACAGGAUUAGAUACCCUGGUAGUCCAUACCGUAAACGAUGAAUGCUAAGUGUUGGAGGGUUUCCGCCCUUCAGUGCUGCAGCUAACGCAUUAAGCAUUCCGCCUGGGGAGUACGGCCGCAAGGCUGAAACUCAAAGGAAUUGACGGGGGCCCGCACAAGCGGUGGAGCAUGUGGUUUAAUUCGAAGCUACGCGAAGAACCUUACCAGGUCUUGACAUACUAUGCAAAUCUAAGAGAUUAGACGUUCCCUUCGGGGACAUGGAUACAGGUGGUGCAUGGUUGUCGUCAGCUCGUGUCGUGAGAUGUUGGGUUAAGUCCCGCAACGAGCGCAACCCUUAUUAUCAGUUGCCAGCAUUAAGUUGGGCACUCUGGUGAGACUGCCGGUGACAAACCGGAGGAAGGUGGGGAUGACGUCAAAUCAUCAUGCCCCUUAUGACCUGGGCUACACACGUGCUACAAUGGAUGGUACAACGAGUUGCGAACUCGCGAGAGUAAGCUAAUCUCUUAAAGCCAUUCUCAGUUCGGAUUGUAGGCUGCAACUCGCCUACAUGAAGUCGGAAUCGCUAGUAAUCGCGGAUCAGCAUGCCGCGGUGAAUACGUUCCCGGGCCUUGUACACACCGCCCGUCACACCAUGAGAGUUUGUAACACCCAAAGUCGGUGGGGUAACC
rnacentral:rRNA from 2 species